rnacentral:rRNA from 1 species
GACGAACGCUGGCGGCGUGCUUAACACAUGCAAGUCGAACGGAAAGGCCCUGCUUUUGUGGGGUGCUCGAGUGGCGAACGGGUGAGUAACACGUGAGUAACCUGCCCUUGACUUUGGGAUAACUUCAGGAAACUGGGGCUAAUACCGGAUAGGAGCUCCUGCUGCAUGGUGGGGGUUGGAAAGUUUCGGCGGUUGGGGAUGGACUCGCGGCUUAUCAGCUUGUUGGUGGGGUAGUGGCUUACCAAGGCUUUGACGGGUAGCCGGCCUGAGAGGGUGACCGGCACCAUUGGGACUGGGAUACGGCCCAGACUCCUACGGGGGGCAGCAGUGGGGAUUAUUGCACAAGGGGCGGAAGCCGGAUGCAGCAACGCCGGGUGCGGGAUGACGGCCUUCGGGUUGUAACCCGCUUUCGCCUGUGACGAAGCGUGAGGGCGGUAAAUGGGUAAAGAAGCACGGGCUAACUACGG